AAUUGGUAGAAGAAAACUAAAAUUGACUGUUCAGUAAUGUAAGCAUUAGAAUCAUUUCGAAAGAAAUAAAUAUCAACAUUUUUCAUUUGCCAUUGUCGAACGUUUUCUCCGCCCAAAUAUUUGAAUGCAAAUUUUGCAAUCAGUACCCGCCAAUUAUAAACUCAUACACGGUGUGUAUAAAUAAACCUCAAAAAUAUAUUUGUUGUGCAAAUUGAACAACCAGAGAAGUAACAACAUGCGACACCGUAUUGUGAUUUUGAUGUUUUUGUUUGGUGUUUACUUGCAAUCAACAGGAAAAUUCAUUAUAUUUUGCGAAUAUGGCAAUUACAGCUAUCACCGAUCAUUGUAUGCUUGUGUGGCAACACCCGGUGAAAUGUGCAAUAAGAAUUGUACUGACAUUGUCGCAGAAGGAAAACAUUUGUAUGGAAAAACUGAUGCAGAUGUACAUGCAUUUGUCAUGGAAAAUAGGAAUAUUACUGAAUUACCAAGAAAUUUGGGAUCAGUUUUUCCAAACAUUUUGUUCAUUAACUUCAAUAGAAAUUUAAUAACCAACUUAACCACAUCGGACAUAAAGCAGUUUCCUAAAUUAGAGAUGAUCAAACUGACGAACAAUAAAAUCAGCGGAAUUUACGAGAACAUUUUCAAACAAUUGCCAUUAACUCACAUUGAAAUCGACAAUAAUUACUUAGAGUAUGUUUUCGAAGGCCUGACAUAUUCCACAUCGUUAGACUAUUUAAAUUUUAAAAAUAAUAAGUGUAUUGACAUGGUGGCCAGUUCACCAGAUGGCAUCGACCAUUUGAAAGAUAAACUACUUCUUAGAUGUUCCCUAAAACCACGGACGAAGCAAUUAGAAAGCGAUGUAGUGGAUAUUAAAAAACAAGAUGAGAUAUCUAAUGACCGAGUUAGAACUUUAGAAAAAGUAAUUCAUAAAUUGAAAGAAGCAUUGACAAUAAAUUUCCAAUAAAGAUUUUGUUACGAAAA